rnacentral:rRNA from 1 species
UACAGAGGGGGCAAGCGUUGUUCGGAAUUACUGGGCGUAAAGGGCGCGUAGGCGGCCCGCUAAGUCGAACGUGAAAUCCCCGAGCUCAACUCGGGAACUGCGUCCGAUACUGGCGGGCUUGAAUCCGGGAGAGGGAUGCGGAAUUCCAGGUGUAGCGGUGAAAUGCGUAGAUAUCUGGAGGAAUACCGGUGGCGAAGGCGGCAUCCUGGACCGGCAUUGACGCUGAGGCGCGAAAGCGUGGGGAGCGAACAGG